rnacentral:RNase_P_RNA from 1 species
CGGGGUGGGUAGCUGGCUCACGGCUUUGUGCUGAGGAAAGUCCGCCCACCAUCAAAAUGCCACCUCAAUCGAGGAUCUAGAAAUGGAUGGCAACGGCUCAGAAACGAUACGGCCUUUUUCCGUAAUGAUGCACAGAAAAAUCCAGUAAUGGAUAAAUAACUGGCUGAACUUGUUAAAAGGAAACGAUGAAACGGCGNNGGGAGGCAACCACACAGAAACGAGACCGCCCUGCGCGCGAAUGAUGAUGGAUCGGGAACCGCAAGGUUUCUGGCCUGCUCGGGAACGUGUUCCCGGCAGACGCGAAGGAUCCCGCGAGGGAGCCGAGAUAACCUCCGGAAUUGCGCAGGGGAUGGCUGAGACGGUGAGCCCCUGGCGGUGCAAGUCCAUUGCGACGCUGAGUUGAAUGCCGGCGCGGGCCACGCUCCCCUGUGGAGCGGCAAGCCCGACAAAAGGCGGCUUAUUCCUGCCCCG